rnacentral:rRNA from 1 species
AUGGCAGCUACAGCUCAUGAUUGGAAGUUCGUCACGUUUUUCGCAAAUUGCACACGUCUACGCUUGUUCAACCUCCAGUAUAACAAGUUAGGUGGCGUACUGCCAAUCUCUUCUACCAACCUAUCAUCACAACUCCAGAUUCUAUGUGUUAAUCACAAUGAGAUUUCCGGAAAGAUACCAUCUGGGUUAAGUAAUCUUGGUGGGCUAAAUUAUUUGCAAUUAUCUGACAACAGAUUCACUGGUAUCUUGCCGGAUAGCAUCGGACAGCUAAGUUCGCUACAAGUCUUAGUCUUUAACGGAAACCGGUUGACAGGAUUCAUUCCCUCCUCCCUUGGGAACUUGACGAAGCUAUUACAACUUUACGCUGGCGAAAACAAGUUUGAGGGACCACUUCCAACAAGCCUAGGGAGACUGCAGGAGCUAACAAUAGCAACCUUUGACAACAAUAAGUUCACUGGUCCAUUGCCUAAAGAGAUCUUCAACUUGUCAUCCUUGUCAUAUGCUCUAGAUUUUUCAAAUAAUAAUUUCGUUGGCCCUCUUCCACCAGAAGUUGGCUUCCUCACACAGGUUACUUACAUACACAUCCACUGGAACAACUUACAAGGGCCGUUGCCUAAUACACUCAGCAAUUGUCAAAGCUUAAUAGGUCUUCGGUUUUCAGAAAACACACUCUCAGGUGUGAUUCCUCGCGAGCUAGGGCUCAUGGCUGGCAUUGAAGCAAUGUAUCUUGCAUCCAAUAAAUUGUCGGGUCAGAUCCCAGAGGAUAUGGAGAACAUGACAUCAAUUUACCAUUUAGACCUGUCCUUCAACCAUCUAGUUGGCAAGGUUCCAUUACAAGGUGUGUUCAGUAAUGUGACUGGUUUUUAUUUUAUGGGAAUUUUGGGCUCUGCGGUGGCAUCUCAGAAUUACGUUUGCCCGCAUGCCCACCAGAAUACACGGAACACAGCUUACGGAUACACCAUGUCCUUCUAG